CAGCAGUGAGGAAUAUUGGACAAUGGGCGCAAGCUUGACCCAGCCAUGCCGCGUGAGGGAUGAAGGCCCUAUGGUUGGUAAACUCUUUUUGCUACGGAAGGAAACCCGUGCUACGUGUGAGAGCUUGCACGGUACCGUAAGAUUAAGGAUCGGCUAAUUCCGUGCCAGCGGCCGGGUAUUACGGAGAUAUCCAGGCGUUAUCCGAACUCAUUGGGUUUAAAGGGCCCGUAGGCGUUGGCUAAGUCAGUGGUGAAAGCCCACUCGCUUAACGAUGUAACGCCCAUUGAUACUGCCAGACUUGAAUUCCUAGGAAGUACUGGAAUUUGUGUGUAGCGGUGAAAUGCUUAGAUAUUACAGGGAAUACCAUUGCGAAGCCGGUUACUACUAGUUAAUUGACGCUGAUGACCGAAAGCGUGGGGCGCGAACAGGAUUAGAUACCCUGUAGUCCACCGCCGUAAACGAUGGUAUACUAGCU
rnacentral:rRNA from 1 species